ACGCUCUGUUUACACAUCCACUCACACCUGUGCACCCACUGUAGUUCUGUGGCCAGGGGGCUCUGUCCUCUUGCUGCCGUUCUACGUCUUUACACACACACUGUAAUAAAGUUUCAUGGAAUGCAUGACGCGUCUAACGCAAUACAAUACAACUUUCAGCAACGGAUCUCUUGGCUCUCGCAUCGAUGAAGAACGCAGCGAAAUGCGAUAAGUAAUGUGAAUUGCAGAAUUCAGUGAAUCAUCGAAUCUUUGAACGCACCUUGCGCCCUUUGGCUAUUCCAGAGGGCAUGCCUGUUUGAGUAUCAUGAACACCUCAACUCUCAUGGUUUUGCCGUGAUGAGCUUGGACUUUGGGGGUCUUGCUGGCCUGUGGCCGGCUCCUCUCAAAUGAAUCAGCUUGCCAGUGUUUGGUGGCAUCACGGGUGUGAUAACUAUCUACGCUUGUGGUUYCCCACCAGGUAACCUUCAGUGAUGGAGGUUUGCUGGAGCUCAUAA
rnacentral:rRNA from 1 species